ensembl:lncRNA
UUUACACAUAUGGGAUCAUGUAAGUACUGACUUGUUCCACUUUAAUCUAACAGCAAAAUGUGUAAAAGCUAUAAAAGUGCAACACUGUGUCUUUACAUUAAACCCUGAAAACCUGUGCAGCAUUUUGAAAGCAGAAAAUUGUUUCCUCAACCUCAACAUUUUACUGUGAGACUGGAAUCUUCAUUUCUAACUUCUAAUCUGAUUUUUCCCACUAUUGCAAGUCAAAUUUGAAUAACCCUAACACUUGAUGACACUUUAUUAGUGAAAACAAGGGAUGGUAAAAGUUGAUUAAAAGUUGAUUUUGAAAUGUUCUGAUGUCUAUAUUUUAUUUAUGUGUUCAUAUUAUGUUACCAUUAUGUGAACAUAUGUUACUUUUUCUUUAGCAACUUUUAGUAAGCCAUGGAGGCCUUUUCCAGAGAAUAAUGAGGACAUCCUGGAAUUUCUGAAGAAAUAUAGACCUCAAAAUCAGGAAGCAAAUCAUCUCAGAAUUUUGUUUUUUGGACCAGAUGGUGCAGGAAAAUCAAGCUUCAUCAACUCUGUUGACAGUGUUUUGCAAGGUAGAGUUACUGGUCGAGAUUUGGCAGAUGCAAUCUCUGGAAAAAGUUUCACUCGAGAGUACAAAAGUUACAAAUUCUCCGAAGGCAGUCAAGGUCAUUACUCGUUUGUUUGCAACAACAUCAUGGGCAUGGAGCAAAAGGAUGGUGGCGUUCAUGUGGACGACAUCAAACUUGCCCUGAGGGGACAUGUUACAGAUGGUUACGAGGUACACUGUUCUGAACUUUAAUAUCAAAUCAAAUCAAAUCAGUUUUUCUGUUAUUGUCACAUCCCAUGUGCUGGUACACUGGUACAGCACAUGUGAGUGAAAUUCUUGUGUGCAAGCUUCAUAAGCAACAGAGGUUUGCAAAAUACAAGAAACAUAAGAACAAGGAAAAUAUAAAAAUGGGAAUAUAAGAAUUAUAAGAAUAAAUAUAUGUACAAAUAUAAGAAUGUAUGCACAUUACUGAAUAUGUAUACCAAAUAUACUGUUGUGUU